rnacentral:rRNA from 1 species
UACAGAGACUGCAAGCGUUAUUCGGAUUCACUGGGCGUAAAGGGUGCGCAGGCGGUCGGGUGUGUCAGAUGUGAAAUCCCGAGGCUCAACCUCGGAGCUGCGUCUGAAACUACUCGACUAGAGUACUGGAGAGGGUAACGGAAUUCACGGUGUAGCAGUGAAAUGCGUAGAUAUCGUGAGGAACACCAGAGGCGAAGGCGGUUACCUGGACAGUUACUGACGCUCAGGCACGAAAGCAUGGGGAGCAAAAGGG